AAAGAAUUUUAGGUGGAAUGAUUGAUUUAUAACUUUAGGCGUUAUUUAUACACGAAAAGUUUGAUCUAUUAUUAGGUUUGAAGAGAUCAAAAUUCCUAGAAAGAAAACUUUUGUCUCAGAAAUAUAUAUUAGGUUUUUGUUUAUCUUAAAACUUUAAUUAAGUUUUGCUUUUUUAGUGAAUUGAUACAUCUCAGUAGCUUUAUAGGAAAUCAAAAGAGAAAAUUUUGCGAGUAACGGUGAGUGAAACCAGUAGAGUAAUUUAUAAAUUUUAUGGGUUCAGCCUUCAUUAUGUUAUCUCUUUUUGUUUGCUUUUGGUAAUUUUUUGCCAUUUUAUAGGAAAAUUCGUUUUCUGACUUUAAAGGAGUAAAAUCUAUAGUGUAGUAGUAUUGUGAAGGAAAGCACUUCGUUUUAAAUAAGGAAAGAAGUAUAGAAACCUAGAAUUUUUGUUAACUAUCGUUUAAAACGUUGUACUUUUUGCAUUACGGUUUUACUAUUUAAAAGAAUUAGGUAAGCUUUAAUUAAUUUUAAAGGCUAACUAAAAUUCUUAACGUUUUGCUUACAAAAAUUAAUCUUUUCUUUUAAACACGAAGCCAAGCGAUCUAUUCAAGUAUAAGCUGAAAUUAAUUUAAAAAUUACAUGGAAGGCUUUAAUCUGUGUUUGUUGCAAUAAACUAGAGUGAUAUUUGAAUAGGAGUGAAAGGCUAAUCAAGCUUGGUUAUAGCUUGAACUCCACGAAAUUUAUUUAAGUAAAGCUAUUACCAACAGAAUGAGGUAAAGCACUGAUUUCGUUUUGGGAAAUUUAACGUUUUUCAAGCGUUUUCAAACUUUGAAUGCAUUCUUAGAUUACGAGCUUCGGUAUUAAGUUAGACUUUAAGCUAUAAAGUUUUAAGUCGAAAGAGGAACAACUCAGAUCGCUUUCUAAGAUAUUUAAUUAUGUUCUAAAAUAAAAGGUUUUUUGUUAGGUUAUCCCUAUUUCAAGCUUAUAUUACAUUAAAGUUGGCUUAGAAACAGCCAUCGAUUGAAGAUAACGUAAUAGUUCGAAUAAUUAGCUCAAAAAAUCCCAAAAUUUAAGAUUUUAAACAAAGUCGAAGCAGCGAGUUUCGGUACGGUAGUGGAGCAUUUUGUAAAAUUUUAAUGUUUUUUUAGAGCGUUUAAAAAGGAAUUCGUUGACUCUGUGAAGUGUAAUCAAAAACGAUACUGUAAAAAUUAGUAACAUCUUAAACUUUUAAUAGUUCGUUUUUAAUCUAAGCUUUUUUAUUUCUGUUUUGAGUUUAUUCGAUCCCUAAAAUAUCGUGUGAUAAUUUUAUUGAUGGGUUUUAUUGUUAGCGUGUAAAUACUUUAAAAAUGAAAAAUUUUAGUAAUUAAUUUCUCCAUAGUUUUUAAGUGCGGGAUAAACAACUAUAAAAUUAUCCAUUUUUCAGGAAAAAGUAAGCUAACGCGUUCGUAGCUUAUAACCGCAACAGGUAGAUCAAUAAAAAAUAUUAAAACGUAAAGAAUAAUAAAAGGUAAGGAAUUCGGCAAACAGUCUUCGUAACUUCGGGAUAAGAAGAAAUGGUUAAUAGUUACUAUUAAUUAUUAAUGACAACUCAAUGAGCGACUUUUUAAUAAAAAAUUAAAAUAACGCUAAUUAUUACUAACGUGUAUGUUAUUUGAUUGGUUCUCAAUGCUUUAAACUGAAAAAGAGGGUUGUAUGCUCUUUAAUAAAGAAAGGCAAAUAGAUGUCUUAUUUUGAGGAUAGUAAUGUAGCGAAAUUCCUUGGCCUUUAAUUGAGGUCCUGCACGAAGCCAAUAACGACUCAUUGACUCUCUCGUCUUUUAUUCUUGUGAAUUUGAAAUAAGGGUGAAGAUUCCCUUUUGUUAAAGCAAGACGAAAAGACCCUAUCAAUCUUUACUCUAAUCUAAUAUUGUUCUUCUAAAUUUAUACGUUUAGUUAGAUAGUUGUUUUUGCUUAAGCUUUUAUGAAAAACUAUCCUAUAAUUUAUUAGGACUAAAUUGCUGUAAAAAAGCUAAGACAUUGUUUGGUUUGUGAGUUUAUCUGGGACAGAUGCCUUUUAAAAGGUAAUAAAGGUAUACAAAGACAACUUUUAUUAGGGCUUUCUUAUCUAUUGAAGCGAAAAAGCAAAUAGUUUGUUUGACUGCGAAGCAUAAAAUUGUUUAAGCAGCUAUGUAAAUAGGUUUUAUUGAUCCGAUAAUAUUGAACGAAAAAGUUAUCGCUUAAUAGAUAAAAGAUACUGUAGGGAUAACAGGAUAAUAAAAACCAAGCGAUCAAAGCGACGUUUUUGUUUGUUACUUCGAUGUCGGUUUAAAGCAUCCUGAUGGUGAAGCAGCUAUCAAGGGUUUAGCUGUUCGCUAAUUAAUGCUUUACACGAACUGGGUUUAAAACGAUGCGAAUCAGUUUUGUUUCUAUCUGCUUGAUAAUUAAGGUUUAAAGUCGUUCCUUCUAGUAUGAGAAGAUUGAAGAGGAAAAAGCCAAUUGUUUAGAAUUUUUUUAGUUUUAUGGCUAUGCUUUUAUUGUUUAAAAAUUGAAUGCGUUAACUUUUGAAACAUUGCUUAAAAUAACCUUAGAAUAUGUUUUACACGAAAACUUUGAUCGGUCGUUAUUAAUAUUGAAAAUCGAUAGCGAAUUAAGAUUUAUAAACUUUUUAGUUUUUUAAAAAUAACCAAGA
rnacentral:rRNA from 1 species